ACAUACCCCCUGGCUUUCUCAAUUGAUCACGACCCUCUCACACGGACCCCCUUAGAGUUGUGAGCCCUUAAAAGGGACAGAAGUUGAGCACCCAAGGAGCUCGGAUUUUAAGACGCUAGCGUGCCCAUGCUCCCAGCUGAUUACAGCCACUCCCUUCACUAUCUUGGUGUCUGAGGGGUUUUGUCCACGGCUCGUCCUGCUACAUUUCUUGGUUCCCUGACCGGGAAGUGAGGUGAUUAAUGGACAGUCGAGGCAGCUCCUUAGGUGGCUUUAGCCUGCCCUGUGGAACAUCCCUGCGGGGGACUCCAACCAGCUGGAGCGACACGGAUCCUGAGAGUGCUCCCGGGUAGGCAUUUGCCCCGGUGGGACGCCCCCCAGAGCAGUGUGUGGCAGGCUCCCAUGGAGGAUCAAUGCAGUGGCUGAACACCGGGAAGGAACUGGCACCUGGAGUCCAGACAUCUGAAACUUGUUUAUUCUAGGGGGCCCAACCUCCGAGACCAUCCUUAAACAUCAGUAGACUGGGAGCUGUACGUGGAUGGGAGCAGCUUCGCCAACUCCUGCAAAGUAACUCUGAAGAAGACGACAAGCCCUGCUCCAGUCACACCCGGAAGCUGACUGGUCCACACACGGCCGAAGCAUGAGACAACUCAUCGCGGGACUCAUUUUCCUUAAAAUUUGGACUUGUACAGUAAGGACUUCAACUGACCUUCCUUAGACUGAGGACUGUUCCCAGUAUAUACAUCAAGUCACUAAGGUAGGACAAAAGAUUGCUACAGUCCUGUUAUUUUAUGGUUAUUAUAAGUGUACCGGGACUCUAAAAGAAACUUGUUUGUAUAAUGCUAUUCUAUCCAAGGUAUGUAGCUCAGGAAAUAACCAACCUGAUGCCUGUUAUGACCCAUUUUAAGCCUCCCAUGAUCACAGUUUUUAGAAUAAAAUUAAGGACUGGUCAUUUUCUAGGCGACGCAAGUAAAGUAACAGCUAAGACAGAAGAAAGAUGGGUCCCCAAGCAUAUAACCCUAAAACUUAAUGCUUGUGCCACUAUCAAUAGCAAUCGGCAUAGGAUAAGAUGUGGUUCUUUAAAUUGAAAAAAAAAAGUUACACGGCAGGAAAUAAGUAUAUCUGCCAUGAAUUAAGCUCAUGUGCAACUGUGUGUAAUUACUGGUCUUGUGUCAUCUGGACUACUUGGAAAAAGGAUGAAAAAAUCCUGUUUAGCUCCAAAAAGGAGAAGGCAGCCCCGCCUGUAUGAGUGGAAGCUGCAACCCCUUAAAAUUAGUAAUUACAAAUCCCUUAAACCCAAGGUAGAAAAAAAGAGAACACAUAUCUCUGGGCAUGGAUAGAAAAGGACUAGAUCCUAGAGUAAAUAUCGUAGUAAAAGAGGAGGUUCAUAAACUCUCUCUAGAACCAGUAUUUCAGACUUUCUAUGAUGAACUAAAUGUGCCAGUACCAGAGACUCCAGGAAAAACCAGAAAUCAUUUUUGCAAUUAGCCAAGCAUGUAGCCCAGUCUCUAAAUGUCACUUCAUGUUAUGUUUGUGGAGAAACUGUAAUAGGAGAUCAAUGGCCAUAAGAAGCCUGAGAAUUAGUGCCUACAGACCCAGUUCCUGAUGAAUUCCCGGCCCAAAAGAAAUCACCUUGAUCAUUUCUAGGUUCUAAAAGUCUCAAUUAUUAGAAAAUAUUGCAUAGUUUAAAAAAGGAAAGAAUUCACUCAUUCUGUAGGAUGACUUAGUUGCCUUGGACAAAAACUGUAUAAUGGUACCACAAAAACAGUUACAUGUGGAGUUCAAGCCAUACAGAUAAAAAUCCAUUCAGUAAAUUUCCAAAGUUGCUGACUGUUUGGGCCCCCCCAGAAUCCCACUGGGGCUGGAGGCCCCCACUGGGCUAUACUAGAUAUGUAGACAUCCAGCCCAUGCUAAGCUGCCUGACCAGUGGACAGGUAGUUGUGUUAUUGGCACUAUUAAACCAUCUUUCUUCCUACUGCCCAUAAGAACAGGUGAACUCCUGGGCUUCCCUGUCUAUGCCUCCUGCAAAAAGUGAAACAUAGCCAUAGAUAAUUAAAAAGAUGAUGAAUGGCCUCCUAAAAAAAUUAUACAAUACUCAUGAUUGUGGGCGCCUGUAGUCCCAGCUACUCAGGAGGCUGAGGCAGGAGAAUGGCGUGAACCCGGGAGGCGGAGCUUGCAGUGAGCCGAGAUCACACCACUGCACUCCAGCCUGGGUGACAGAGCGAGACUCCGUCUCAAAAAAAAAAAAAAAAAAAAUUAUACGAUACUAUAGGCCUGCCACUUAGACAUAACACAGGUCAUGGGGAUACCGGACCCCCAUUUACAUGCUCAACGAAAUCAUACAGUUGCAAGCUGUUUUAGAAAUCAUCACUAAUAAAACCGGUCAAGCCUUGACUGUUCUGGCCCAGCAAGAAACUCGGAGAAGAACUGCUAUCUAUCAAAAUACACUGGCUAGCAGCUACUUGCCAUCGAUCAAUAGAUCGACUACUUGCUAGCAGGCGAAAGAGAGGUCUACAAGAAAUUUAACCUUACUAAUUACUGUGUACACAUAGAUAAUUAAAGACAAGUAGUUAAAGACAUAGUUAGAAAUAUGACAAAACUGGCACAUGUGCCCUUGCAAGUGUAACACGGAUUCGGCCCUGGAGCCAGGUGGUUCCCAGCACUAGAAGGAUUUAAAACUCUUAUAAUAGGAGUUAUAAUAGUAACAGAAACCUGCUUACUGCUCCCUUAUUUGCUACCUGUACCUCUUCAAAUGAUAAAAAGCUUCAUCGCUACCUUAGUUCACCAAAAUGCAUCAGCACAAGUGUACUAUAUGAAUCACUAGCAAUCUAUUGUACAAUGUAAUGCCCAACCUUGUUCUUACUAACCCUGUUCUUAGACUCUCCCUUUCCUUUACUCACCUAGCCUCAUUUCCACCUGAAUGGACUCUCCCUUAGCUGAGAGAGCCAGACAGACUCCAUCUUGGCUCUUUCCCUGGCAGCCCCUUCCUCAAGGACUUAACUUGUGCAAGCUGACUCCCAGCACAUCCAAGAAUGCAGUUAACUGAUAAGAUACUGUGGCGAGCUAUAUCCGCAGUUCCCAGGAAUUCGUCUGAUUGAUAACGCCCAAAGCCAAGACUAUCAUCUUGUAAUAGUCUUAAAGCCCCUGCACCUGGAACUGUUUACUUUCCUGUAACCAUUUAUCCUUUUAACUUUUUUGCCUACUUUACUUCUGUAAAAUUGUUUUAACUAGACCCCCCCUCCCCUUUCUAAACCAAAGUAUAAAAGAAAAUCUAGCCCCUUCUUCGGGGCCAAGAGAACUUUGAGCAUUAGCCAUCUCUUGGCCGCAGGCUAAAUAAACGGACUCUUAAUUCGUCUCAAA